rnacentral:rRNA from 1 species
GAUGAACGCUGGCGGCGUGCCUAAUACAUGCAAGUCGAGCGAACAGAUGAGGAGCUUGCUCCUCUGACGUUAGCGGCGGACGGGUGAGUAACACGUGGAUAACCUACCUAUAAGACUGGGAUAACUUCGGGAAACCGGAGCUAAUACCGGAUAAUAUAUUGAACCGCAUGGUUCAAUAGUGAAAGACGGUUUUGCUGUCACUUAUAGAUGGACCCGCGCCGCAUUAGCUAGUUGGUAAGGUAACGGCUUACCAAGGCAACGAUGCGUAGCCGACCUGAGAGGGUGAACGGCCACACUGAAACUGAGACACGGCCCAGACUCCUACGGGAGGCAGCAGUAGGGAAUCUUCCGCAAUGGGCGAAAGCCUGACGGAGCAACGCCGCGUGAGUGAUGAAGGUCUUCGGAUCGUAAAACUCUGUUAUUAGGGAAGAACAAAUGUGUAAGUAACUAUGCACGUCUUGACGGUACCUAAUCAGAAAGCCACGGCUAACUACGUG